GACGAACGCUGGCGGCGUGCUUAACACAUGCAAGUCGAACGGAAAGGCCCUGCUUGCAGGGUACUCGAGUGGCGAACGGGUGAGUAACACAUGGGUGAUCUGCCCUGCACUUCGGGAUAAGCCUGGGAAACUGGGUCUAAUACCGGAUAGGAGCCAUUUUUAGUGUGAUGGUUGGAAAGUUUUUUCGGUGUAGGAUGAGCUCGCGGCCUAUCAGCUUGUUGGUGGGGUAAUGGCCUACCAAGGCGGCGACGGGUAGCCGGCCUGAGAGGGUGGACGGCCACAUUGGGACUGAGAUACGGCCCAGACUCCUACGGGAGGCAGCAGUGGGGAAUAUUGCACAAUGGGCGCAAGCCUGAUGCAGCGACGCCGCGUGGGGGAUGACGGCCUUCGGGUUGUAAACUCCUUUCGCUAGGGACGAAGCUUUUGUGACGGUACCUAGAUAAGAAGCACCGGCUAACUACGUG
rnacentral:rRNA from 1 species